UACGUAGGGCGCAAGCGUUUAUCCGGAAUUAUUGGGCGUAAAGAGCUCGUAGGCGGUUUGUCGCGUCUGCCGUGAAAGUCCGGGGCUCAACUCCGGAUCUGCGGUGGGUACGGGCAGACUAGAGUGAUGUAGGGGGAGACUGGAAUUCCUGGUGUAGCGGUGAAAUGCGCAGAUAUCAGGAGGAACACCGAUGGCGAAGGCAGGUCUCUGGGCCGAUACUGACGCUGAGGAGCGAAAGCGUGGGGAGCAAACAGG
rnacentral:rRNA from 1 species